UCCAUUAAUAUAGAUAAGCAUGGAGUAAUUCCCAAUUAUAAACAAACUUAUUUAUUCAUAAAAAGUAUUUAUUAAUGAAUUAUUUUAAAUAAAAAUAUUGCUAUAAAAAUAUAUUCUGCAUUUCACAAUUUUUUUUAGCUAACAUUCUGCCAAACCAUUACUCCUUACCUCUCUAAUUCUGAAUAAUAAAUGUGCCCGUAUAAACAAAACAAAAUAUGUUUGAAUAAUUUCUAUGUUUUUAAAUGUAUUAACUGAAUGAAUUUUCUAUUUCAUAAUCUAUAUUGAUGUACUUCUGAGGAAGAUCUUUGGAAAGGAUCUAGCUUUGAGAAUGAACCUCCAUCAAGUCUCAUUUGAAGGUACCUGAAUUAAGAACAUAUGCAGUGAAGAGGUGAUAGUAACAGCGGGGUGGAAGAAGUUAUGAUGUUUCAGAUCUGUGGCGAUGUGUUAUAAUUGAAAAUCUAUAUAUUGUAAAUAUAUUGUAUGAUAGUUGUAAAAUAAAUAAAACUUAAUAAAUCUUA